rnacentral:rRNA from 1 species
AACGAACGCUGGCGGCAUGCCUAACACAUGCAAGUCGAACGAGACCUUCGGGUCCAGUGGCGCACGGGUGCGUAACGCGUGGGAACCUGCCCUUAGGUUCGGAAUAACUCCCCGAAAGGGGUGCUAAUACCGGAUAAUGUCUUCGGACCAAAGAUUUAUCGCCUUUGGAUGGGCCCGCGUUGGAUUAGCUAGUUGGUAGGGUAAAAGCCUACCAAGGCGACGAUCCAUAGCUGGUCUGAGAGGAUGAUCAGCCACACUGGGACUGAGACACGGCCCAGACUCCUACGGGAGGCAGCAGUGGGGAAUAUUGGACAAUGGGCGAAAGCCUGAUCCAGCAAUGCCGCGUGAGUGAUGAAGGCCUUAGGGUUGUAAAGCUCUUUUACCCGGGAUGAUAGUGACAGUACCGGGAGAAUAAGCUCCGGCUAACUCCGUG